AACCGCGGCGAAUGUUCCCCGAGAUGCCCGAAGCGGCACCCGGUACGCGGAGCGCGGUGAUUGAACCGCGGAAACAUUCGGCCGUAUCAGUUACGGCGCGUUUUCGGCUCGCGGAAAGAAGCAGAAGAGUAGCGGGGAGGUCAGUGAAUGGUUUGAGAAGACGCAGAUCCGGUGUAAGCCAAAGUUCUGCGCGAGCCAGGGAACAUGAUUAUACCGCAGUUUCAGUUUGUGCUGCAGAUGGCUUUUUAAUCUGAUUACAUAACCCGGUAUUAGAGAGUAAGGGCAGGUCCCGCUGACGCUCCCAACAGUUGUAAUUGAAUGAAGGAUACAGUAACUGAAGUUAGGCUGAGCUUAAAGUAACAGGCAACAGUUACACAAAAGGCAUGUUUCAGUGAUUACCGGGAGGAAUUGGAUAAGGGCUGGAAAAAAUACCAAACCCUCUUUUGUUAUCAACCAGGCUGAAGACUAAACGAAGCAUCUGGGUUUAAUUCCACAUUCUGCCACUGUAUAAUCUCAGAGAACAGACGUUUAACUCACUUGUAAGGUUUCUCGUGAUUUGACCAUUUCAAACAUCGUAAUGAUGUUAACAUUAAAACAAAACAAAGAAAAGGAAAAAAAAACCACAACAGUGGGAGGAUGUACCUAAAGAAGGACAUAGGAAGCACAUGCUGGGAAAACGGGGCCAAGGAUUACCUGUGUAUCCUGUGAUCAUUUCCAUGACCCAUGACAGCACUAUUUGCCAGCAAUAACAGAGAGGAGAAAAUGAUUUUACCAUGGCAACAUCUACAUUAGCAACAGCACAAUAAGAAUAUAUCUGGAGAAUGAAACUCACAUACACUUGGGAGGCUUUACUUCAGACUACUUUAUUCCCCCAAGCCAGAUGUCAAUGACGUGUGUUCCUGCAACACAUCUUUCACUGUGGUUUCAUCCAAAAGUUAUCUCCAUUUGCUUGUGCUCAUACUCCUCUGAAAUAGAAGGAAAAACAUGGUAAGUAAAAUCCCAUUGGGAGACUCCCAUUAACAGAGUAUUCUUGUCCUGAACUAAUAAAUUAAUUCAUGGAGACGGACUCACAGCUGCGCUCCCUGGGUCAAAAAUGAAACCUAGUGUGACUUUCAUACCAGCAUGUACUUUGUGUGACCAAAACGUGAGACCCAUUUAAGUUCCUCUACUACCUGGACACAACAUCCAUGCAUAUGAGCAUUACAGUUCUUAGGAAUCACGCUGGUUGCAGCCAAAUCCACUUCACUUUUGGCCAUGGGAAACAGAAGAAUACAGAUUCCCCCAUUCUCUUGUGGCCUGUGGUACACCGCUUUGUCAACUUACCAUUUUCUUUUUCUUUCGUAAAAGAUUUAAGAACAGCAAUUACAUAGGAAAUAGCUUUUGCUGUCAGGUUCACUUUGCUUUCAGGUUUUUAGUUCUCAUGACUGCAGAAGAAAAUAAUCCC